GAUCUAUACAGCAGGAUUGUGGUCCGUAGUGCUCGCCUUUCUGCAUCAGGGAUACACAGACCCGGGUGUUUUCAAGACGGUUGUGCUGCCGACGGAGCCUGAGCCGGGGUAACAGCACAGCGCGGCUGCGGUCGAGGGGCUCGGAGACUUGUCCACGCGGAGGAUCUGCCAGUGCGGGCAGUGGCAGAGCAAGUCCUUGUCCUUGAACCUAAGAAAGAAAGAGCCCUUUGGGCUUCCUACAGUCUUUGACUACAAUAGGAGUGGGUCCUUAAGAAAACGCUAAUGAAAGUUCUGCUCUGAAGGUCCGAUUCUGGAAAGAGAGAACAAUUUCUUGCUGAGAGAUGACUUCAUGGAGUUCAUGUCCUAGGACAAGGUCUCGGCGGCCAUAGGAAGAGGCAGGAGAGCGCUACAGUUGCUUCCACCUGUGGCUAGAAGCGUCUGUCAGCUGCAAGGCCAGUGUGCGGCCAGAACUGCCACAAGCAAAGGCUAUUGAAGUGCUCGGGACCAGAUGUUCUUGCAACACGGACAAUGGUUAAACAACAUUAACAGCGUUAACACAUGAACACAGUGAAGGUUCCUUCUCUGAGUUUCAAAUGCGAGAGUGUAAGGUGGACCCCUCACAGCUGUGAAAAACUGUCUCCUGCCCAAACCUGGCUAUUACCUCAAUGUGAUGAUAAGGUUUUCAUGUCAUUCCAUUCUUUGAGAAACAAGUGUCAGCUGACUUUGACUUACCACCGAGUCAGAAUACCGCUUCACUUCAAAAGGAAUCUGCACAGAGCCGCCGACACGGAUGCCGCGAGUGGAGCAGAGGGACCCCGCCGUGCUCAGCCAAGCUGCGAUUUCACAACAGCAACGACGUGCCCAUGUUAGUGGAGAACAGAUAAUUCCUCAGCAUCCGAUCUGUCUCUCUAAGAUCUCUUGCUAGCCUCGCUGACCCUUCGCAGAGGAUGACGCUGAUGUCGUGCAGUGCUGCUUCACCUGGAAGCCAUCUCCCACCGUCAGCCGAAUCCCUCCCAUCCUGCCUGAUGCCCAGCCCUCCAGCAGCACGCACGCAGCCCGCCUGCCUAUCCACAUGGCCAGCCUCUGCCUGCGGCCGAACGACGGGAACGUAACUCCACUCACCUGUGACUGCGUUUUACAGCGCUCCCUCUCUCACCAGCACUGCCUGGUUCCACUGCCGAGAAAUUAGAUCAAAUAAAAGCUCAAUUGUUUUGCAAUGAAUUGCAGCGAGGCAGCACUGUCAGUUUAAUUAGCUCUUAACUCCAAGCUCGAAGCCUCUAAUAAAGGUGCUCAGGAGCAGACGGUUAGUGGAAAUAAAACGAAUGAUGGCAGCGUUGUUUCUAACAGGCUGGUGCUCUUCAGAAGGGAAUGGUGCACGGGGAACUUCUCUGCGACUCACCAAGCCCGUAACCAGCUGUGUGAUCCAGAGCACAGAGAGCGGGGAAAUCGGCUGGAAAAGAUCACACACGUUGCGUUGGGCCUGGUACAAAUUACUUUAGGGGGAAACUUCCUCCCAUAUGAAAGUUCAACUUAGGCUGGAACACAACAUAAGCCUUAUUUUUCAAUGUUUUCAGUGGAUUUUGACAACGGAGACCCUGUGGUGGCCUGUUAAACCAUGUAAGAUAUAAUCUUUAAGGAUUUUAAAGGAAAGAUUCCUAGAGGCAUGUCCUGGAUAAUAACAAAUCUCUCAAGAGGGCUUGAAUCUGCAGAAGAGGAAUCGGCUAAAACCAGCCAAUUCAUGGUUGCUUACUUAUUGACAUGGGACUGCUUCAGCCCCUGCUGUAGCCUGGAAAGGUGGGAAUGAAGGUGUGAAUUUAGUUUCUCUGACAACUUUGAUAUGUUUUUUUCAUAGCUGAUGGAAAUCUGAACUAUAGGCAGUGCAGGGUAAAGUGAGGGUGACCGAGCACUGGCACAGGUUGCCCAGGGAGGCUGUGGACUCUCCAUCCCUGGAGAUAUUCGAAAGCCAUCAGGACACGGUCCUGGGCAACUGACUCCAGGUGGCUCUGCUUGAGCAGGGGCCUGGACCAGAUGACCUCCAGAGGUCCCUUCCAACCUCAACCAUUCCAUGGUUCUGGGGACUGGAGCAGCGUCCAGUCCAGAGCAGGCUCAGAAGCGCCUGUUCACUCCUGUACUGAUGAGCUGCUCUGUUCAGUCCCCAUUUCCUGAGGAGGAUCUGCUUUUCACUGGACAGUCUUGGACAUAAGUGACCAUUGUGCUGGCAGCUGGAUGGUUUUGGGAAGUACAAAUAAAUGUGGCUCCAAAGGAACAGAGAAGUCUUGUUCUACUUUUAUCUCUCUUUUUUCUCCCCAUAGGGAAGGAGUGAGGUGUACACAGCCAACUGGGUCACCUCUGUGGGUGUCAAAGAGGGUGAAUAAUUGCUAAUUUUUAUUUGAUUCAUUUUACACCUUUCCUCUCCUUGGCCACCUGAAGUUCUACUGAGCAGUUGAUAACUUCCCUGGAAAUAAGUCAUCAUAGCAAACCCUUCCGUGAAAAGUUUUUGGGCUGUAGCUUAUGGUACAUAGAUCAUUUACAGCAUUUGCUGUUAAUGAUAACUGUUUUUAUUGGGCCAUUCAGUCUUGGGUAAUACUACGACGCCCUCACUGGAGGGACAGUAAAUACAUAAAUCACAUGUUUACAAUGAUGAAUCAACUAUUAUGACUUUUAAAAACUUUGUUUUCUGAAAGUAUUUGCUCUCUUUGCUUGAAACAUAUUGUUCAUGCCAACACAUUUGCUAAGAAGUUUGCAAAAAAAACCGAAGACAAAACAGAUAAACGGAGAAAACACAUAUGUUUUAAAAUGGGAGACUCAUUUUUCUAAGAACAUUUGUAUGUUUGUCAAAGUCCCCAAGUACGAGCAGUUUUUUUCAUUUGACUGAGACAGACUUGCAGCCCAACUAGACUUGAUGUGAAUUAGUAAGCGAGACCCUCCAAAAUCUGCUGCUACAGGAGAAACAUGUUGCUGUAUCCAAAACAUCCAGAGGGGAAUUAUGCAAAGAGAUUACUCAUCACCGAAGCAAAGUCUUAAUUGCAAGUUCCCAGCGCUGAUUGAUGUCUGGGCCACAGCACCAACUCCUCUCCCUGCGCGCGUCCCCUUUUGCGAUAGGAAAAGGUUUUUGCCUCCCCUGCAACCGAUGGUGGCUGAGACUUGACUCUGAUCCCACCCCUCAGGAAUAACCAUUGCAACAGCACGGAGCUGAGCGGAGGGUGGUCCCGUAACACCCGCCCAGGCUGGUGGCCAGCAGGACAUCGAGCCCACGGUCAGGAACUGAACUGUGCACCCACCUGCCAGCUCUGGCUGUAGCGGCCGUGCCCCUGACGACGUCUCUUUUGCUGGAUGGGAGUAAACUAGACACAGUCUGAAUUCCUG